CAGCAGCCGCGGUAAUACGAAGGGGGCUAGCGUUGUUCGGAAUUACAGGGCGUAAAGGGCGCGUAGGCGGACUGAUAAGUCAGGGGUGAAAUCCCAAGGCUCAACCUUGGAACUGCCUUUGAUACUGUUUGUCUUGAGUUCGAGAGAGGUAAGUGGAACUGCGAGUGUAGAGGUGAAAUUCGUAGAUAUUCGCAAGAACACCAGUGGCGAAGGCGGCUUACUGGCUCGAAACUGACGCUGAGGCGCGAAAGCGUGGGGAGCAAACAGGAUUAGAUACCCCAGUAGUCCCUGUCUCUUAUAA
rnacentral:rRNA from 1 species